GAUCCUGGCUCAGGAUGAACGCUGGCGGCGUGCUUAACACAUGCAAGUCGAACGGACUUUACAUGAAGCCUAGCGAAUGUAAAGUAGUGGCGACGGGUGAGUAACGCGUGGGUAACCUGCCGUAUGCCGGGGGACAACAGUUGGAAACGACUGCUAAUACCGCAUAAGCGCACAGAUAGGCAUCUAUCAGUGUGAAAAACUCCGGUGGCAUACGAUGGACCCGCGUCUGAUUAGGCAGUUGGCGGUGUAACGGACCACCAAACCGACGAUCAGUAGCCGGCCUGAGAGGGUGAACGGCCACAUUGGGACUGAGACACGGCCCAAACUCCUACGGGAGGCAGCAGUGGGGAAUAUUGCACAAUGGGGGAAACCCUGAUGCCAGCGACGCCGCGUGAGUGAAGAAGUAUUUCGGUAUGUAAAGCUCUAUCAGCAGGAAAGAAAAUGACGGUACCUGACUAAGAAGCCCCGGCUAACUACGUGCCAGCCGCUGC
rnacentral:rRNA from 1 species